rfam:Aedes albopictus isolate Foshan contig48182, whole genome shotgun sequence.
UAGCCUAGUGGUUUAGGCUAUGGAUUGCCAAUUCGGAGACGGCAGGUUCGAUUCCUGU